rnacentral:rRNA from 1 species
GACGAACGCUGGCGGCGUGCUUAACACAUGCCAGUCGAACGGGUCUGCCCUGUUUUUUGCGGGGUGGGUCAGUGGCGAACGGGUGAGUAACCCGUGAGUAACCUGCCCCUCACUUCUGGAUAACCGCUUGAAAGGGUGGCUAAUACGGGGUGUUCUGGCUGUGCCGCAUGGUGUGGCUGGGAAAGAUUCACUUUUGUGGUGUUUUGGUGGGGGAUGGGCUCGCGGCCUAUCAGCUUGUUGGUGGGGUGAUGGCCUGCCAAGGCUUUGACGGGUAGCCGGCCUGGGAGGGUGGGCGGUCACACUGGGACUGAGAUACGGCCCAGACUCCUGCGGGAGGCAGCAGUGGGGGGUAUUGCACAAUGGGCGGAAGCCUGAUGCAGCGACGUCGCGUGAGGGAUGGAGGCCUUCGGGUUGUGAACCUCUUUCGCCGGUGAAGAAGGUCCUGCUCUUUGUGGUGGGGUUGACGGUAGCCGGGUUAUGAAGCGCCGGCUAACUACGUG